rnacentral:hammerhead_ribozyme from 1 species
GUUCAGCUGAUGAGUCCCAAAUAGAACGAAACAUGCGUCCUGGAU